rnacentral:rRNA from 1 species
GACGAACGCUGGCGGCGUGCCUAACACAUGCAAGUCGAACGAAGUGGCGAACGGGUGAGUAAUACGUGAGUAACCUGCCCUCCUUUUUGGGAUAAGCCUUGGAAACGGGGUCUAAUACCGACUAAAGGGGGAUGGGCUCGCGGCCUAUCAGGUGGUUGGUGGGGUGAUGGCCUACCAAGGCGGUGACGGGUAGCCGGCCUGAGAGGGUCACAGGCGGCAUUGGGCACGGGAUACGGCCCAGAGUCCUGCGGGAGGAGGCAGUGGUCGGUAAUGGACAAUGGGCGAACGCCUGAUGGAGGGAUGCCGCGUGGGGGUUGAAGGAUUUCGGGUUGUAAACCUCUUUCGCUAUCGAGCGGGUAGGUGGAGAAGAAGCGCCGGCUAACUACGUGCCAGCAGCCGCGGUAAUUC